ensembl:lncRNA
GUUUUCUAGAGAGCAUUGUGCACAACAGUCGGAGUCUCAGAUUGAUCUGAGUUGUUGAAACUGGAAUGGCGGUUCCUGCUCGGAGGGUAAUACUGGCCUCACCGUUACUCAGCUUUCCUGGUAUUAACUAUUAUGGACGGAUGGCUUUUCCCUGGACUUGCACUGGGAUUCCCAAGAAGGAAGGAGCCUCCUCUUGCCUCAAGCAAGGAUGCACAAAUGUCCUCAGACCCUCCGACACCUGGAAGUUCACCGUGCAAGACUAAAGCAGCCAGUGGUUCAGUCUCGGAAAUUCUAAAUAGACUGCUUUUUAAGUUAAAAUAUAAAUUAUCUCAUG